GCCUGAGUGGCUUAGUGGGUUAAGCGUCUGACUUUGGCUCAGGUCAUGAUCUCGUUUUGUGAGUUUAAGCCCCUUAUUGGGCU
rnacentral:tRNA from 1 species